rnacentral:lncRNA from 1 species
CAGCGAGUAAACCUCUCCUUAUUUCACAGUUCUCCUUUUCACGUUUCUGCCGGGUUUUUGUCUGGUGCCCUGCGCUUUCAGCUUUAGUUUUGAUUCAGCAAGUGGCAUUCACCCAUCUCAGCAUUAUUGCAUUCUCAAGAUUCCUCAGAAAUGAGAUGGUUUAAGAGAUUUCGGAGGAACAGUCAAAACCAAGUGGACGAGGAAAGAAAAAGUCUUACCAAUGAAGAACAUUCAGAGCAUGUGCGUCCUUGGAGGGAGAAAUUAGGAAUGUCGGAAGCCUGUCAGAAGCCCAUCAGUUGCUCAGAGCCAAAAAAUUCAAAUACAUGGAUUGGUGUCCUCCAGGAGUUUAUGCAAGGCAGCACCCAGGAUUCCCUGUCUGUUGCAGCCCUGCUGACAUACUAUGGGCGUCCAUGUGACUCCAAGUUCCAGGAAGCCUGGCUUCAUAUUGUGCAGACACACAUCACGCGGCACUUCCCCUCAUUCCCACCAGAGAGCGCUAUCAAACAACACCCCGAGCAGCUCAGAAAUCAUCUGCUGCAGGUUCAAGAAGUGGUGCUGAGGGAACUGGGCCGACUGUCCCCUGUACUACGGGAAGUGAAGCUACUGGACUCUUUGAUUGACCAGUACCACCGGCAAAUCUUCAACCACCUGGACCUGGUGUUGCAGACCAAACGCACACAUGAACAGGCCUACUGGACAGUGGACUGGGUCUUUCGGAUGUAUGUGAGAGUUGGCAUUACAGGACUCAGGGAAGUCCCAGAGUUCUACGCGGCUAUUGACCCCAUGCAGCUCACUCACUACAUUCAGUGGGCAGUGGAGAAGCUGUUGUCCACAGUGAAGGUAAGAAACUCUAUUUGUUUGUGUGUCUGUGUGUGAUUUUGAAAUGGUAAAUGUUUUAUCUAAAAGGGUCCUACUUCACAGGAUGAGAUUGCUGCUUUACUCAGUAGAAUUCUGGAGAACGAUGCAAUAGAGCAAGCAGACUACGAUAAUGAGGAAGCCUUCAUCCAGUUUCAUUUGGAUGUCAUUCAGGUAGAUACAAAACUAUAAAUAGAAGGAUUUUUUUAAUGAAU